GCCAACGCUAGUUUGGGCGGGAAUCAGAGACCUUUAUCAUCGGUUGGGAAUGGGAAGUCAGUUUCUUGCACAUUUUUGGCUCCCAAUGUCUUCCAUUGCUUGUUAACACCAACCACGCCACUUUGUUGUCGUCGGCGAGCGUGCACGCUGCAGAAGGAAUACGGGACAGCUGCCAUUCCUGGAGGCUGGAGGGUUCAUUGGACAGGACACCUGCACAGCCGUAUUGCUGGCGGCUACGGUAAAGGUGUCCACCCUACUUUGUGAAUUCAAGACCAUGUCAGGACCUGCAUCAUCCGAGUCUGAUUCAGAACACUCAGGAUCUCCUGUAUCUUCAAGUUUAGGUAGUAGGGCCAUGCUGAUUUCAUCAGAGUCUGAUGAUGACCGUCCUGUCUGCAAGAAGAAGUGCACCUCAGACAUAUCUUCUUGCAGACCUCGCACGUCAUCACGACAGACAGAAAGGGCUCACGGGAUGCUACACUGAGCCUUAUUGCUGAAAGUCUUCCGAGUAGUUUUGAAACACAACACAAGAUGGAGGAGGAUGUGAGUGUGAUCGAUCUUCUCAGGGUCUUGCUGCAGGAGGUGCGAGAUGUGAAGCAGGAGGUGAGAGAGUUGAAGAGCAAGCUCGAGAACUCGUCUGAAUGUACAGAGUCGAUUAUUGAAAACCCUUUUGAUGAACUGAAGUCUUUUGGCUUUUAAGCUACAUCACUGGAAGAAUUACUUGAACGGGAGAAGCAGUUCUCGGAAGGAUGUGAAAAUUCUAAGAAGAACAGGAACGACCUCCUUAAGAUCCUCAUUGAGUUAGCUCCCAAGCCUAAGAAGAAUGCUAAAGUAGCUGCUCUGGAUAUAGUUAGGUCGAUAAUGCAAAGAUUAGCUGAUGAUUCAGUAUGGCAAUAUGUUAGCGCUUUUGGGAAGUCAGGCACAAAAAAGUUGUCAAUGUGCAAAAUGAUGCCUUCAAUUAUGGAUACAGUACUCUUAACAACAAUAAAAACCCUUUCAGUUGAUACUAAAGAGGCAUCAACUGCUCUUUCAACAUAUUUAAAAAAUACUGCUACAAGGGCAGCAGCAAAGAAGCACAAAUUUGAACAUGGAAGAGCCAUACUUCAGAUUGGUAACAGUGUACAUGAGGAAACAUUCCAGUCUGCAAACUCUGUCCAAAGUUCAUGACAACAUGCAGCUGAUGAGGUUAGAGUCUGAUGCAGCACAUGAUUCAGAUUUGGCCUGAAACCAAAUUUGUGGCUAAAAUAAUUUUAUGCAUGUGUUCUUUAUUGAGUGUUAUAUAAGCACUGGUCUCCACUGUCAGUGUCAACUAAGUACAACACAUGCAAAAUAACACAAAACUUUCUUUUUGCUAGCAUCAUAAAUAAUUACAAAUGCCUGAUUCAUAUAAGGUAUAUAGAUAAAAGAGGUACCUUUGCAUAAUGGAUUUCCUUAUGGUAGAAUGCGAUGUAUA